rnacentral:rRNA from 1 species
UCGGGAAUAUUGCGCAAUGGAGGAAACUCUGACGCAGUGACGCCGCGUAUAGGAAGAAGGUUUUCGGAUUGUAAACUAUUUUAGACAGGGAAGAAAAAGACAGUACCUGUAGAAUAAGCUCCGGCUAACUACGUGCCAGCAGCCGCGGUAAUACGUAGGGAGCAAGCGUUAUCCGGAAUUAUUGGGUGUAAAGGGUGCGUAGACGGGAAGGCAAGUUAGUUGUGAAAUCCCUUGGCUCAACUGAGGAACUGCAACUAAAACUAUCUUUCUUGAGUGCAGGAGAGGAAAGCGGAAUUCCUAGUGUAGCGGUGAAAUGCGUAGAUAUUAGGGGGAACACCAGUGGCGAAGGCGGCUUUCUGGACUGUAACU